UUUCAUAUAUUCUAGAUUCCCUACAUGUAAAGUAAAACAUUUCAAAAGUUUUUUUUUUUAAUUUGUUGAUUAGAGCGUACAGCUCAUGAAAGUCCAAAAUCCAGUAUCUCAAAAUAUUAGAAUAUUUACAUUUGAGUUUCAUUAAAUGACCAUCCCUACAGUAUAAAUUCCGGGUAUCUUUUGUUUUUUGAAACCACACUAAUGGGGAAGACUGCUGACUUGGCAAUGGUCCAGGAGACAAUCAUUGACACCCUCCACAAAGAGAGUAAGUCACAGAAGGUCAUUACUGAAUGGGGUGGCUGUUUACAGAGUGAUGUAUCAAAGCAUAUUAAAUGCAAAGUUGACUGGAAGGAAGAAAUUGGGUAGGCAAAGGUGCACAAGCAACAGGGAUGACCGCAAGCUUGAGAAUACUGUCAAGUAAAGCCGAUUCAAACACUUGGGAGAGCUUCACAAUGAGUAGAAUGAAGCCGGAGUCAGCGCAUCAAGAGUCACCACACUCAGACAUCUUCAGGAAAAGGACUACCAAGCCACUUCUGAACCAGAGACAACGUCAGAAGCAUCUUACCUGGGCUAAGGAGAAAAAGAACUGGACAGUGAACAGUGGUCGAAAGUCCUCUUUUCAGAUAAAAGUAAAUUUUGCAUUUCAUGUUGAAAUCAUGGUCCCAGAGUCUGAAGGAAGACUGGAGAGGCACAGAAUCCAAGCUGCUUGAAGUCUAGUGUGAAGUUUCUGAAGUCAAUAAUGAUUUGGGGGGCCCGUGACGUCUGCUGGUGUUGGUCCAUUGUGUUUUAUCAAGUGCAAAGUCAAUGCAGCCAUCUUCCAGGAGAUUUUGGAGCACUUUAUGCUUCCAUCUGCUGACAAGCUUUAUGGAGAUGCUAAUUUCCUUUUCCAGCAGGACUUUAGCACCUGCCCACAGUGCAAAAACCACUUCCAAGUGGUUUGCUGACCAUGAUAUUACUGUGCUUUAUUGGCCAGCCAAUAUGCCUGACCUGAAUCUAUGGGAUAUUUUCAAGAGAAAGAUGAGAAACAGUCGAUCCAACAAUAUACAGAUGAUCUGAAGGCUCAAUAGUGCCUCAGCAGUGCCACAGGCUGAUCACUUCCAGGCCACACUUCACUGAUGCAGUAAUUUGUGCUAGGAGCAAGUCAUUUGCUGUAAUAUGUCCUGCCGAUCAAGUAUUGAGUGCACAAAAGAACAUACUUUAAAGAACUUGAACUUUUCUGUUUUGCAAAUCCAUUUUUUGAUUGAUCUUAGGAAAUAUUCUAAUAUUUUGAAAUACUGGAUUUUGGAC